UGGAGUUGUAUAAUGGAAAUAUGGGACAGACAUAUUACGUAAAUAAAUUAAAUACAUGACCAUGCAAAACCAUGUGAAAUACACUCUAAUUAUAAAUUAAAAUCCAAUGUAAAUGCUCAUUGUGGGGGCGCAGCGGAGGUUACCGGAAGUGGCGACGCAGCCUGUGACGCAGGUGAGCGCAAUUGGGGUAAUCAAGACUUUCUGGCUCGUCCGUCAUGGCGCAAAGGCUGUUAACUGUCAUCUAUGUCAGCGUCUUCGUUUGGGCUGUCAUAACAGAAGCCUGAAAAGAUGCCGAGUGUUUAGGAGGCAUCGUAAAUUAGGCGUUAAAUUAGGGUAAACUUUCACCAAACGCAAGAGACACAAACUUAUUUAACGUCGCAGACCAAAGGGAACGAGCGACGGACAGAAGGGGAGAUACUACGAGUGGUUGUGGAACGUGUGCAGUCCUCUAUUGGCGUGGGAUAAUCAUCUGGCACAAUGGUGAUACACCGGUGAUCUUACGAAAAGCCUUUACCCCCGAAACUGUUGCUCUCUGCAACUCUUCUCUCCUGAUUGGCUACGGCUAAUGGCAGACCGGCCUCAUUUCCGUUGGCUUCCUCUGGCCCAUUGUGAUUUCCCCAAAGAGACGCAGAAGCAUAGAGCUGCGCUGUGAUUGGACUCAACUGACCGUCUGCAUCACACAGCGCUGCCCCCAAAAGAUGCUGCUCCCCCUCCAGCUGUAGCUCUGAGGAGAGAAGAGGACCUCUAGUGGAGACACCGUGGACUGUGUACAGGAAACGGACAUCACGCACAAAGAAAUGCAGCUGUUGCUGUCAGAGGUUGCUGGAGUCUACGAAAUUCCAGCAUAAUCGCUGUUGCUGUCAGAGGUUGCUGGAGUCUACGAAAUUCCAGCAUAAUCGGGCUGCCACUAGCCAAACGAGGUCCUAUGCAAGAUUUUCAAGUGGAGCCCCACCCAUCCACUGAAACCAACUCAAGCCCACCCCUUGUGGAAGUCCAUCACAGCAGGAAUGGAGAAUGAGUCAAUGUACGGGGCGGGCAGGACAUCUGAAACACAGAGCUGUCAGAGCAAGUCCGGCUUCUGCGGUGGGAUGAUCUCCCAUACUCCUUCAGCACACACGAUCUGCGUGUAGGACACCAAAGACAGGGUGACUGAUGGACCUCUUCAUCUGGACACAAACACGGACACACACAGAGUUUGUAUUUCAGUACAAAUACGGAGGAACUGACACGCUAAUGAGAUGUUCCUAGCAUUUUACGCUGUGCAAACUGUAUAAACUCCCUGUAUGAUCACCCUGUCUUUUGUCAUGAUUCUACAGCAGAAAAUAUGCCUUCCAAUGCAGCAGAAACAUGAUCAUCAUUUCAACGUAGACUUUGUCCUUACAAUAGUUUGGACUGUCGUUAAGUGACGAAACAUUUCCAGUGCAAAUGCAAAUAAAAUCUAACCUAAAGCAGAAAUUGAGCUGAAACUUGUGCAGAUAGAAAUUCAAUUAUCUGAAAA